GCCCCCGUAGCUCAGCGGAUAGAGCAGCGGUUUCCGGGACCGCAGGCCGGCCGUUCGAAUCGGUCCGGGGGCG
rnacentral:tRNA from 1 species